UACGGAGGGUGCGAGCGUUAAUCGGAAUUACUGGGCGUAAAGCGUGCGCAGGCGGUUUUGUAAGCCAGAUGUGAAAUCCCCGGGCUUAACCUGGGAAUGGCAUUUGGGACUGCAAGGCUGGAGUGCGGCAGAGGAGACUGGAAUUCCUGGUGUAGCAGUGAAAUGCGUAGAUAUCAGGAGGAAUACCGAUGGCGAAGGCAGGUCUCUGGGCUGACACUGACGCUCAUGCACGAAAGCGUGGGGAGCAAACAGG
rnacentral:rRNA from 1 species